rnacentral:rRNA from 1 species
UACGGAGGGGGCUAGCGUUGUUCGGAAUUACUGGGCGUAAAGCGCGCGUAGGCGGCCCUGCAAGUCGGGGGUGAAAGCCCGAGGCUCAACCUCGGAACUGCCUUCGAUACUGCGGGUCUCGAGUCCGGGAGAGGUGAGUGGAAUUCCUAGUGUAGAGGUGAAAUUCGUAGAUAUUAGGAAGAACACCAGUGGCGAAGGCGGCUCACUGGCCCGGUACUGACGCUGCGGCGCGAAAGCGUGGGGAGCAAACAGG